rnacentral:rRNA from 1 species
UACGUAGGGGGCAAGCGUUGUUCGGAUUUACUGGGCGUAAAGAGCGCGCAGGCGGUCGUUCAAGUCGCGUGUGAAAGCCCCCGGCUCAACUGGGGAGGGUCACGCGAUACUGAUCGACUCGAAGGCAGGAGAGGGUAGUGGAAUUCCUGGUGUAGCGGUGAAAUGCGCAGAUAUCAGGAGGAACACCAAUGGCGAAGGCGGCCCUCUGGCUCGACCCUGACGCUGAGAGGCGAAAGCGUGGGGGAGCGAACGGG